rnacentral:lncRNA from 1 species
AGAGCUUGAGAGUGAGGAAGGAAGAGAGGGAAGAAGACAGAGGAAAGCCAAGAGGAGUCCUCCCGGAACACCUCACAAAUAUCAGCCGCAGGAGGGCCACAGAAGCAAGACCCUCAGUGGAAUUUUCACAACUUGAGAAGGUCGCAGCGGGCACCACAGCCUUCCUUUUCGUUUAUGCCUUCUCCCUCAGGAGAGACUUCUCAGGACAGUCUCCAUGAUUACACCAUGCUUUCAAAUUGUUUCGAGUCACUGAAGAGAAUGCACAUGCCUAGAGACGGCACAAUCAAGUAUGUGAUGCAUGUGUGUGCAAGCAAGGGUAUCAAUACCUGCCUUUUCUCCAAACGUCCAAC